rnacentral:rRNA from 1 species
GAUGAACGCUGGCGGCGUGCCUAAUACAUGCCAGUAGAACGCUGAAGGAGGAGCUUGCUCUUUCCGGAUGAGUUGCGAACGGGUGAGUAACGCGUAGGUAACCUGCCUGGUAGCGGGGGAUAACUAUUGGAAACGAUAGCUAAUACCGCAUAACAGUAGAUAUUGCAUGAUAUUUGCUUGAAAGGGGCAAUUGCUCCACUACCAGAUGGACCUGCGUUGUAUUAGCUAGUUGGUGAGGUAACGGCUCACCAAGGCGACGAUACAUAGCCGACCUGAGAGGGUGAUCGGCCACACUGGGACUGAGACACGGCCCAGACUCCUACGGGAGGCAGCAGUAGGGAAUCUUCAGCAAUGGACGGAAGUCUGACCGAGCAACGCCGCGUGAGUGAAGAAGGGUUUCGGAUCGUAAAGCUCUGUUGUAAGAGAAGAACGAGUGUGAGAGUGGAAAGUUCACACUGUGACGGUAUCUUACCAGAAAGGGACGGCUAACUACGUG